AAUAGAUACCCAGGUAGUCCACGCCGUAAACGAUGGAUGCUAGCUGUUAUGAGUAUCGACCCUUGUAGUAGCGAAGCUAACGCGUUAAGCAUCCCGCCUGUGGAGUACGAGCGCAAGCUUAAAACAUAAAGGAAUUGACGGGGACCCGCACAAGCGGUGGAGCGUGUUGUUUAAUUCGAUGAUAAGCGAAGAACCUUACCAAGGCUUGACAUCCCUGGAAUUUCUCCGAAAGGAGAGAGUGCCUUCGGGAAUCAGGUGACAGGUGAUGCAUGGCCGUCGUCAGCUCGUGUCGUGAGAUGUUUGGUUAAGUCCAUCAACGAGCGCAACCCUUGUAAAUAGUUGAAUUUUUCUAUUUAGACUGCCUCGGUAACGGGGAGGAAGGAGGGGAUGAUGUCAGGUCAGUAUUUCCCUUACGGCCUUGGGCUACAAACACGCUACAAUGGCCGGUACAAAGGGCAGCCAACCCGCGAGGGGGAGCAAAGUCCCAUCAAAACCGGUCUCAGUUCGGAUAGCAGGCUGAAAUUCGCCUGCUUGAAGCCGG
rnacentral:rRNA from 1 species